GGUUGCUUAGAGAAAGUGUGGCGCUUCGUUUGACCUUUCACACCUGCAGCCCAAAAAGUCACCAUGACAACCAGCACUUUUGGAUGUAGAAAUCUGACUGUAUGACUUUAAGAUUUAAACUUAGACAUUCAAAGUAGACAACACAGCUACUUUUCAAAAUAAGAGAUCUUAACCAGUGAUUAGAGAAUUUUUUUUAUGCUUUCAAAAAAAAAAAAACUAACUUUUUUUUCAAAAUAAGAGACUCACCUAUACAUAUAAAUGAAAUAUCUGCAAUUGUAGGUCUCAAAGCACUCAUGGACAUAAACUGGUGACGUAAAAUGAAUAACACACAGAUGAUUUUCAGAGUAAAGGUCGAGCCACCAGGGGGCGCUAGCGGAGCCUCAGGAAACUUGAGGGAAGAUAAGAAAAAAUACAUUUAAACUAAUUCAUUUUCACAUAUUUUUCUAAUUUUUAAUUUAAAAAAAUAUCUAAUGUUUUCCAAUCACAAUUAUUAAAAAUAUAAACUAAUUUAUUGAAAUGUCAUUUACCAUGCUUGUCUUUCUGACUGGCUGCUAGUCAAAUUUCUCGAGCUGUUUUGCUCCCAAUGCCAGCAUAGGUGAAAUCGAACGCUAUGAGUCAGCAUUUAUGCUAAACACAUGUAAUAAUUAUUGAAAGUAGAGAAUAAAAGUGAUAAAAGUAUUCUAAAAGUUUAUGUUUCUUUACAUGUUUCGUAGAAAAGAGCGUCUCCAGCCAGAAGCUAACGCUGUUCGGGACCCGCGGGUCUAGAGAGCGUAAGGAAAGCUGGUUCAGAAUUCAUUGGGCCUCCACAGAACAACGCUGAUUUAUGAUUUUGGCUCUGAGCCUCUGCAGAAUCAUGUGUGUCCAUAAAAAACGCCAACGGGCAUCUGAGGCCCAUCAGGCUGCGGGGAUUGUGACGGCGGUAGAGAGCGGAGCGUCGGGGACGAACACGUUCCCACAAAGAGAGCCUCUCUGUGCGAGUGCACGGCUCUUUAUACGAUGGCAGAGGUCGCUGCUAAAAACGCUCGUCCUCCUCCAUACGGUCCAGUGCAAAAUAACAAACGGCACAACAACACAAAACAAGGACGACCGUUGUCCGUCGCAGCAUUCGGCUGCUCCAUCCAAACAGAGACGGGAAGGCGUGGGUAUCACAAGAAACCAGUUUAGAUUUAUUUUUUUUUGGCCACAGUCUGUGUAAAUAUUCCACCCUGUGAAUGAUGCUUUUGUGUUGGGCAACAUGGCGGCUCAUUAGAGUACAUUAGAGCAGGGUUUUCUGAUUUAAUUAGGAAGCUUGGUCCACUUAUUCUGUUACAAACCAUCUCUGACCUUUAGCUCUGAUGGCUUCUUUUUUUUUUUCCUUUUUAAGAAUUAAGGAAGGAAAAAAGUUGGCUGAAAGAGCUGAUGGGGGGAGAUUUUUGUUGGUGGUCAGAACAUGUGUGACCUGAUUGAGGGCAGGAUAGAGGAGGGAGAGCUGAGUGUUGAAAGUGUUUAUUUAUUUUAAAGAAACCUGCAGAGGGAGAAGAAGAAGAAGAAGAAGAGGGCAAAAUUGAGAAAACUUUCCUGCUGCAGAGUUUAGAAGAGCAAACAGGUGGAGAAGGCAUGCAGUGGAAAAACAGCAAGUGAAAAGAAAAGGCUAAGAGCUGCGCUUCUUCAGUCAGCAAAUGACUGGGGGCACCGUUACGAAUCACAUUUAAAAUUUACAUAGAUGAUUUUUUUGCACGAAUUAAAAAUCGUGCAAAAAAAUUUAAAACAGAAGUUGGUUUCCAAAUAUAAAGAUUUCUAAGCUGUGUUUUUUUUUUUUUGAAACAAUAAAACAUGACUUUGGUCACAAAACUCAUUAAUCUGUCAAACUUAAAGACAUUGUGGCUACAGCGACUCUGCAGAAGUCCGCAAAACAAAUUAAGUUUUUAUCGAAUAAUAAUGUAUGUGAAAUAUGCUAUAGCAGAUGCAGUAGACUGUAUUAAAAUGUAAAAUAAAAUAUCUGUCCCGUUUAAAUAAAGCUUUUGGGAUAUUUAUUUUCGCUGUGUUUAUGCAGUUGUGAUCGACACUAAAAUAAAAAUAAAAUAAAAUAAAAUGCCACCUA